UGUGAGAUUGAGUUAGAUUCAAAGUUUAAUACUUAGCAUGGUAUCUAGAGCCUAUGGUUCUUUUAGGAAAAAAAAAUUAUUGCAUGUACCAUGCACAUAUCGUUGUUAACGUCUUCUACCAUUAAUAUCAGAUUUCCACUUUCGAUCAAUAAUCACACGAUUUUAAUCAUCUUGACCAGGUGACCAUCGUGUUAUCAACGACCCCUUCAAUAGAACUCCUCUAUGCUCUCAACGUCUUUCAAAAUUGUGGAUUUGUUUCCUUUUCUAUUGGGUGUGGUGACGCAUUCCAUCUUCUCUCAAACAAUGAUUCAGAACAUUCAUUUUCUUCUUCCCAUUUAUUCAUAAUAACGAAUAUUAUAACAAAGGUGUGGAAAUAACAUAUUCUUAACAAACCAACUAAAAUACUGACAGCUAGUACACAAUUAUUCCUUUACCAAAACAUCCUCCCAUUUAAACUUAUAAUCAGCUAAAUAUUUUUACAAUCUACGAAGUCUUGCUACCAUAUCUAGGUAAGACUUCUCAUUGGACCAAAUGGUAGUGUUGGAGUCUUCCUGUGGACUUGAGUUGUUAUCAGUUUCCUGAUGUUGCAGCCUAUAAUGUCACCAUCAGGAAUUUCUACAUUGCAAAGAGUCCUAAUGAUGCACAUAGUUUGGUAGAGGAGAUUGGUGUGCAGGGAUUUGAGUCCAAAUGCUUACAAUUUGUUCUAUAGGAUAUUUUAUUAAGUCAGUAUAAUUUGUUCUUGGUGUUAUACGGCUCUAACUUCCUGUACCCCAAUUUUUUCUACCUACACGCCUAACCUUUUAAAUGUCCAUUCUACACUUGAGUUAAUGAUAUCAAUCUAACCUUUUAGCUCUUUGCGUUCACCCUCACCUCCUCUUCUCCCUUGUGUAUGUUUUCGUUCCUUCCUCCAUCUUUAUCACCAUCUUCGUUGACCGUUGGAGUUUUGAAGGUUUAGAAGCUUAACUAUUCACAGAGGGAGUUGCAAGGUUCUUCACGAUGCAAUUGAGCAAAGAAUGAAGAAUGCAAAACGAAUAACAAAUAUAAAACAUACAAUUCAGAAGCCAUUCUUCGAUUCAUAAUAAGCUUCCGGAUUAUGUACUCCGAAAUAGAAUGAUGAUUUUCGGAUUACUCAUUCCACAAUAUUAUUUCCAAUCCCUGAUGACUUUUGGAUUAUAUGUUCCACAAUAGAGGGGUGUAUGGGAAGGGGAAUUCUAGAAUACGUUAUCCGGAUUAGGUGUUCAACAAUAGAGUAAAAUUUUUCCAGAAUAAAGAAUCCGGAAUACGUUUCCGAAUCUGGAAGUACAAUCAGGAUUGGACAUUCUGGAAGACAGAAAAUAACCCACCCGGUCUCCCUCUCCACCGUAUUCAACCAACCACAUCUCGCAAAAAAGCAGAAAUGUUCACCCCAAAAGACCCACACCCCACCUUUUGCAAAAUCUUACAAAUUUACCUUGAUAAAAAGAGAAGCAACGAAGGAUGUGCAACGAACGAGUUCAAACGAAGGAGGUGUAGUUCCUCUGAAUCAACACGCUCCACCUUCUGUCAACACACACCGUGCAGCACGACGAAAACAGGGAGAGGGGUGCAAGAGUUCAGCGCUUCACUGAUGCAGACAAAGAUGGUCACUGUGGGAAGAGGGAGGUCCACACCCUUCGUCUAAAAAAUAACAAUGGAGGUGCACCAAAGCAGCACCAGCAACAACGGGAGAGGAGAGGAAGGGAGCUGCGGCAGCGCAAGGUUAAAAAUUGGGCCUGUGAAAUUAGGAUUUUGUUUUUACUAUUUACUCAGGGACGGAAUGGGUAUUUUAAAAAAUUAGGAAAGUGGCAGCCCGCUUGUUAAGUUGAAAUAGGGUUCACGUGUUCCAUUAAUCAAUGGCUUAAUUGAGUG